CCUACGGGUCGCAGCAGUGAGGAAUAUUGGUCAAUGGACGAGAGUCUGAACCAGCCAAGUAGCGUGAACGAUGACUGCCCUAGGGGUUGUAAACUUCUUUUAUAUGGGAAUAAAAUGUUCCACGUGUGGGAUUUUGUAUGUACCAUAUGAAUAAGGAUCGGCUAACUCCGUGCCAGCAGCCGCGGUAAUACGGAGGAUCCGAGCGUUAUCCGGAUUUAUUGGGUUUAAAGGGAGCGUAGGUGGAUUGUUAAGUCAGUUGUGAAAGUUUGCGGCUCAACCGUAAAAUUGCAGUUGAAACUGGCAGUCUUGAGUACAGUAGAGGUGGGCGGAAUUCGUGGUGUAGCGGUGAAAUGCUUAGAUAUCACGAAGAACUCCGAUGGCGAAGGCAGUUCACUGGACUGCAACUGACACUGAGGCUCGAAAGUGUGGGUAUCAAACAGGAUUAGAUACCCGAGUAGUC
rnacentral:rRNA from 1 species